rnacentral:tRNA from 1 species
GGUAUAGUGUUAUAGUUGAGAAUCAACAAUAAAUUGCAAAUUUAUAAACGUGUAAACCACUAACACCU